ensembl:lncRNA
CAUAGGUGGAGCUGGGUCUUGGCCACAGGCCCUCUCUAGGGGCGUGUCCGGAGGCGGCAUGUCCUAGUCUAUAGACAGCCUGUGUCCUGAUGGGUGGGGCUGUGUCCCCUCCCAGCUAGGUGUUUGUCCUGAGGCAUCCCAGCAAGCUUCCCAGGUGGCUCAGUGGUGAAGAACCCACCUGCCAGUGCAGGAGACACAGCUUCGAUUCCUGGGUCAGGAAGAUCCCCCGGAGGAGGGCAUGGCAGCCCACUCCAGUAUUCUUGCCUGGAGAAUCCCGUGGACAGAGGAGCCUGGUGGGGUUCGGUCAGUCCACGGGUUGCAAAGAGUUGCACAGGACCUAGCAAGUGAGCACGCUCGCACGCCUUCCUGUGCCGGAGCUCACGCGUCAGAGCUCGCAGGCUGUUGGUGGAGCCGGAUCUUGAUGCUAAUGAGGCAAUCGCUCAGCGGCCGGGACUGUUUACAGUGAAUCUUCCUCGGUAUGUCCACUCCCGCGUCUCCGUCCCCAGGGUGAGCAGCAGCAGCAGGCGUUCCUCCUCACCCCUCCGCCGUCCCCACCUUCCCAGGAGACGCCCCAAGACCAGCAGCAAAAUCUUGCAGUGUGCUUCCCUGAUACUGCAUCACAUUUGGAAGAUUUUCAGUUACAGAAUUGGAUGAAAACAGGACUUUCUGAGUAACUACUAAGCUAUUUGGAAAAUGUAAUCAAUACCGAUGGGCUUCCCAGGUGGCGCUAGUGGUAAAGAACCCCCCUGCCAUUGCAGGAGACAUAAGAGACGUGGGUUCCAUCCCUGGUCGGGAAGAUCCCUUGGAGGAAGACAUGGCAACCCACUCCAGUAUUGCCUGGAG